rnacentral:rRNA from 1 species
AUGAACGCUGGCGGCGUGCCUAAUACAUGCAAGUCGAGCGAACGGACGAGAAGCUUGCUUCUCUGAUGUUAGCGGCGGACGGGUGAGUAACACGUGGAUAACCUACCUAUAAGACUGGGAUAACUUCGGGAAACCGGAGCUAAUACCGGAUGAUAUUUUGAACCGCAUGGUUCAAAAGUGAAAGACGGUCUUGCUGUCACUUAUAGAUGGAUCCGCGCUGCAUUAGCUAGUUGGUAAGGUAACGGCUUACCAAGGCAACGAUGCAUAGCCGACCUGAGAGGGUGAUCGGCCACACUGGAACUGAGACACGGUCCAGACUCCUACGGGAGGCAGCAGUAGGGAAUCUUCCGCAAUGGGCGAAAGCCUGACGGAGCAACGCCGCGUGAGUGAUGAAGGUCUUCGGAUCGUAAAACUCUGUUAUUAGGGAAGAACAUAUGUGUAAGUAACUGUGCACAUCUUGACGGUACCUAAUCAGAAAGCCCCGGCUAACUACGUG